UACGUAGGGUGCGAGCGUUAAUCGGAAUUACUGGGCGUAAAGCGUGCGCAGGCGGUUAUAUAAGACAGGUGUGAAAUCCCCGGGCUCAACCUGGGACCUGCAUUUGUGACUGUAUAGCUAGAGUACGGGAGAGGGUAGUGGAAUUCCCGGUGUAGUGGUGAAAUGCGUAGAUAUCGGGAGGAACACCAGUGGCGAAGGCGACUACCUGGCCCAUUCUUGACGCUGAGGCGCGAAAGCUAGGGGAGCGAACGGG
rnacentral:rRNA from 1 species